rnacentral:rRNA from 1 species
UACGUAGGGGGCAAGCGUUGUCCGGAUUUAUUGGGCGUAAAGCGCGCGUAGGCGGACCUGCAAGUCGGGGGUGAAAGCCCGAGGCUCAACCUCGGAACUGCCUUCGAUACUGCGGGUCUCGAGUCCGGGAGAGGUGAGUGGAAUUCCUAGUGUAGCGGUGAAAUGCGCAGAUAUCAGGAAGAACACCCGUGGCGAAGGCGGCUCUCUGGGACGGUACUGACGCUGAGACGCGAAAGCGUGGGGAGCGAACAGG